UACGGGGGGGGCAAGCGUUGUUCGGAAUUACUGGGCGUAAAGGGCUCGUAGGCGGUGUGUCACGUCGGCCGUGAAAACCUGCAGCUUAACUGUGGGCGUGCGGUCGAUACGGGCAUCACUGGAGUUCGGCAGGGGAGACUGGAAUUCCUGGUGUAGCGGUGAAAUGCGCAGAUAUCAGGAGGAACACCGGUGGCGAAGGCGGGUCUCUGGGCCGAUACUGACGCUGAGGAGCGAAAGCGUGGGGAGCGAACAGG
rnacentral:rRNA from 1 species